GAAGAUCGCGAAGUCCAACAUGGUUC
rnacentral:piRNA from 1 species